CACCCACACUGGUUAGAUCAUCCAACAACCUGAGACAAAAAUCUACCAGCAAAUAAGGAAUGCGGAGAGCAAGAGACACAGUGUUCCCGAGGAAUGAACCUCCUAACUUGUUAUAUUAUACCAAAUGGUCAACCUUAAUAUGAUCUACUCACAGGCUGUUUUGAACAUAGGAGUCUCUAGCCUUCUCAAAUCUGCUGGCAUUAUAGAUGACAAUGCAUUUUCAAAACUUGGAUGUGAUACACUGCGGGGUAACCACAGCACUUUGCAAUUGUACUGAUUUUCUAUGGAAUCAACUUCCUUCCUCUUUCACAUAUGCCCUUUAAAGAGAUGUUCAGACCACCUACAAGAAAUCAUCUGCAGAUUAUGGAACGUUAAAAACAUUCCCUACACUAUUGGUAUUCUGUUAUUGACUCCCAUGAUGUGGGAGUGGUUUCUUAUUAAUAAAGAAACUGCCUUGGCCCAUUUUAUUGGAUAGAAAAUUAGGUAGGCGGAGUAUACAGAAGAGAAUUCUGGGAGAAAGAAGCUUAGAGAGUCGCCAUGAUUCUCCCGCUCCAGACAGACGCAGAUUAAGAUCCUCCCUGGUAAGCCAGCUCGUGGGCUACACAGAAUAUUAGAAAUGGGUUAGAACAAUAUGUAAGAGCUAGCCAAUAAGAGGCUACAGAUAAUGGGCCAAGCAGUGUUUGAAAGAAUACAGUUUCCGUGUAAUUAUUUUGGGCAUAAGC